rnacentral:rRNA from 1 species
UACGAAGGGGGCUAGCGUUGCUCGGAAUCACUGGGCGUAAAGGGUGCGUAGGCGGGUUUUAAGUCAGAGGUGAAAUCCUGGAGCUCAACUCCAGAACUGCCUUUGAUACUGAGGAUCUUGAGUUCGGGAGAGGUGAGUGGAACUGCGAGUGUAGAGGUGAAAUUCGUAGAUAUUCGCAAGAACACCAGUGGCGAAGGCGGCUCACUGGCCCGAUACUGACGCUGAGGUGCGAAAGCGUGGGGAGC